rnacentral:rRNA from 1 species
AACGAACGCUGGCGGCAGGCUUAACACAUGCAAGUCGAACGGGUGUAGCAAUACACCAGUGGCAGACGGGUGAGUAACACGUGGGAACCUUCCUCGUAGUACGGAACAACUCAGGGAAACUUGUGCUAAUACCGUAUACGUCCGAGAGGAGAAAGAUUUAUCGCUAUGAGACGGGCCCGCGUCGGAUUAGGUAGUUGGUGGGUAACGGCCUACCAAGCCUACGAUCCGUAGCUGAUCUGAGAGGAUGAUCAGCCACACUGGGACUGAGACACGGCCCAGACUCCUACGGGAGGCAGCAGUGGGGAAUCUUGGACAAUGGGCGCAAGCCUGAUCCAGCCAUGCCGCGUGAGUGAAGAAGGCCUUAGGGUUGUAAAG